rnacentral:lncRNA from 1 species
AAAAGAUUAAUUGUCAAGUGACCUAUAUAUUUGAUAUCUUUUCUUCCUUCUUCUGACGUGGCUUCUAUACUUCUUUUACUAUAUCAAAUCUUCCCAUUCCCCAAAACCUUGACCUCAAGGUUUAAAAGCAGGGAACCUCUUCUCCACAUCAAACAAGAACUCCCAUGUUGCCUAUCCUCCGGUUGGUUAAGCCAUUUGAUCAAGACCUUUGUCGCAGCUCGCCCUUGCCUCU